CUACGGGUGGCAGCAGUGGGGAAUAUUGCACAAUGGGCGCAAGCCUGAUGCAGCCAUGCCGCGUGUGUGAAGAAGGCCUUCGGGUUGUAAAGCACUUUCAGCGGGGAGGAAGGCGGUGAGGUUAAUAACCUCAUCGAUUGACGUUACCCGCAGAAGAAGCACCGGCUAGCUCCGUGCCAGCAGCCGCGGUAAUACGGAGGGUGCAAGCGUUAAUCGGAAUUACUGGGCGUAAAGCGCACGCAGGCGGUCUGUCAAGUCGGAUGUGAAAUCCCCGGGCUCAACCUGGGAACUGCAUUCGAAACUGGCAGGCUAGAGUCUUGUAGAGGGGGGUAGAAUUCCAGGUGUAGCGGUGAAAUGCGUAGAGAUCUGGAGGAAUACCGGUGGCGAAGGCGGCCCCCUGGACAAAGACUGACGCUCAGGUGCGAAAGCGUGGGGAGCAAACAGGAUUAGAUACCCCAGUAGUC
rnacentral:rRNA from 1 species